GACGAACGCUGGCGGCGUGCUUAACACAUGCAAGUCGAACGGAAAGGCCCUGCUUUUGUGGGGUGCUCGAGUGGCGAACGGGUGAGUAACACGUGAGUAACCUGCCCUUGACUUUGGGAUAACUUCAGGAAACUGGGGCUAAUACCGGAUAGGAGCUCCUGCUGCAUGGUGGGGGUUGGAAAGCUUCGGCGGUUGGGGAUGGACUCGCGGCUUAUCAGCUUGUUGGUGGGGUAGUGGCUUACCAAGGCUUUGACGGGUAGCCGGCCUGAGAGGGUGACCGGCCACAUUGGGACUGAGAUACGGCCCAGACUCCUACGGGAGGCAGCAGUGGGGAAUAUUGCACAACGGGCGGAAGCCUGAUGCAGCAACGCCGCGUGCGGGAUGACGGCCUUCGGGUUGUAAACCGCUUUCGCCUGUGACGAAGCGUGAGUGACGGUAAUGGGUAAAGAAGCACCGGCUAACUACGUGCCAGCAGCCGCGGUGAUACGUAGGGUGCGAGCGUUGUCCGGAUUUAUUGGGCGUAAAGGGCUCGUAGGUGGUUGAUCGCGUCGGAAGUGUAAUCUUGGGGCUUAACCCUGAGCGUGCUUUCGAUACGGGUUGACUUGAGGAAGGUAGGGGAGAAUGGAAUUCCUGGUGGAGCGGUGGAAUGCGCAGAUAUCAGGAGGAACACCAGUGGCGAAGGCGGUUCUCUGGGCCUUUCCUGACGCUGAGGAGCGAAAACGUGGGGAGCGAACAGGCUUAGAUACCCUGGUAGUCCACGCUGUAAACGGUGGGUACUAGGUGUGGGGUCCAUUCCACGGGUUCCGUGCCGUAGCUAACGCUUUAAGUACCCCGCCUGGGGAGUACGGCCGCAAGGCUAAAACUCAAAGGAAUUGACGGGGCCCCGCACAAGCGGCGGAGCAUGCGGAUUAAUUCGAUGCAACGCGUAGAACCUUACCUGGGUUUGACAUGGAUCGGGAGUGCUCAGAGAUGGGUGUGCCUCUUUUGGGGUCGGUUCACAGGUGGUGCAUGGCUGUCGUCAGCUCGUGUCGUGAGAUGUUGGGUUAAGUCCCGCAACGAGCGCAACCCUUGUUCACUGUUGCCAGCACGUUAUGGUGGGGACUCAGUGGAGACCGCCGGGGUCAACUCGGAGGAAGGUGGGGAUGACGUCAAGUCAUCAUGCCCCUUAUGUCCAGGGCUUCACGCAUGCUACAAUGGCUGGUACAGAGAGUGGCGAGCCUGUGAGGGUGAGCGAAUCUCGGAAAGCCGGUCUCAGUUCGGAUUGGGGUCUGCAACUCGACCUCAUGAAGUCGGAGUCGCUAGUAAUCGCAGAUCAGCAACGCUGCGGUGAAUAAGUUCCCGGGGCU
rnacentral:rRNA from 1 species